rnacentral:rRNA from 1 species
CACACGAAUCUCGGCAAUGGAUAUCUCGGCUCUCGCUUCGAUGCAGAAUGUAGCGAAAUGCGAUACCUGGUGUGAAUUGCAGAAUCCCGCGAACCAUCGAGUCUUUGAACGCAAGUUGCGCCCGAGGCCACUCGGCCGAGGGCACGCCUGCCUGGGCGUCACGC